AACUUAUGCAGGGACAGAGGGAGAGUAACAGAGAUGAACUGUUAAGAACAGCACUGAAUGAGCCCUGAGGAAAGUUAGUGUUGUUUCAAUUUUUCUUUUUCUUUCUCACUACACAAAUUAGUAAUAACAAUUUCAUUUUAAUUAGCACUCAAUUAAGAUAAUUUUUCCCAAGUCAAGACUGUCAUGCCUAUGCUGGUAAUUAGUAAGUGAUCCCUGUAUCUUUAUCUCAACCUUCCAUUUUUCCCUAUUUUUUUCCCAGCCCCACUGAGCGAGUGGCUGUGUGAGUCUGGCUGCUACCCAGAGCUAAUCCACAACAAGAUGUUACUGCUUUAAACCCAGUGAGGUAAGGUACAUUCAAAACAGCUACAGUUUAGUCUUUUUUAACUUUGGAAGAAAUAGAAGAAGCAUCUUCCCCCAGAAACAUCUAAUUGGUAAAAGUCUCAUACAAAUUAAUAAUACUGAAGAAUGCUCAUUGAAAGAUGCCAUUGCAGAUGCUACACAUGCAGAAUGCAAGACUACCAGACUAGGUAUUGUGCUUUCAUUAUGUCAAUCAAGAUACUCAAUCUGAUCUUUUAUCUC
rnacentral:lncRNA from 1 species